GUGUUACAUUUUCAGCUAAUUUUCAGUGGUGGAAGAGACCCUCUGGAGUUGCUGCAGUGUGUCUGGGGCUGCUGUGUGUUCUCCUACUGGCUGGGAUCAUAGGCCUGUCUGUCUACUAUGGAGUUAUUGGUCAUCACUACUCAACAGAGAGAGACCAACAGGCCAGUUACAGCCUUCUGACUAAAGAAGGAGAUCAGCAACCCACCAGUUAUAAUAACUUGACUAAAGAGGUAGACCAGCUACAGACCAGUUACAACACCCUGACUAAAGAGAGAGACCAGCUACAGACCAGUUACAACACCCUGA